CGCCCCUCUGCCAAUUCCCCAUGCAAAGGGAAGCCAGGGGAGAGCGCGGAGUCCCCUAUCAGCGUUCGGAGGAACUGGCCUGGAGGGGCCACGGAGCGCAAAGGCCCCGCGAAAUAGAAUAUCCGUACGCCCAGCAACCCUCUCUUUCGAGGCGCACGGGAUAACUUGGCUGGAACUCUCCGCUGACCGCUCCGCCUGGGACUCAGGGCUGCAGCCGCACAGAGCUUCCUCCAGGGCGCCCGGGGCGGCGCGAGCAGGAGGGGGACCCGGUGUGGCCGUGCCCGGGACCUCGGGGGACCAGGUGAGCCCGCGCCCGGGUCCCAGUGGGAUCCAGAUGAGCGUACGCCCAAGUCCGCGGGGGACCAGCUUCCUCAUCGGGAUGCACAGCAAGUCGGAUUCCCCAAGCAGAAGCUGGGCAGCCCAGCUGGAAGAGGAGGCCGGGCAGGUGUUGCAGGUCAGGCUCACUAUGACACAGUGUGAGACCUCGGGCUACAACACAGGACCCGGGUGCUGCUCUGACCCCUCGUGUCUUGUGUUGCAGCCGGAGGGACGCAGGUCCGCAGCAGAGCCUGUUCCACUGUCCUGAGGGACUCAACACAGGGGACUGCACAGAGACCAUGGGAAAGACCAGACUCUGGUGGGCAGGUGGGUGGGGUGUUGGGAGAGAGGCCAACCCAGACCACCCCAGAUGUCACCCACUCAGCCCCGUCUCUUGUCCUAGUUUUGCCUCUCCGGACGCAGCUUGGCUCACCUCUGGCCCAGUGCAGGUAGCUGGUGCCAGUUGCAGGGUGACACAGCCUACUUUGGGUCUGUCUGGGCUUUGAGGAUGCCUUCUGCUCCUCACCUCCAGGCCCCAGGCCAGGUGACUGAGACUCCACAGUGGGACUGGGAGGGUAGCAAGGAAGGCAGCUUCUCCCCAAACGUCUCUCUCAUUGAUGAGAAACCCACCACUGGGCUCCGAAUAAGAAAAGUGUUGCAUUUUUAGGAGUUGUCUAUUAAAAUGUGAAUAUUUUCUGCGAGGUGGGAGAUUAAACCACUGUAGGCAUUAGCUGGUUUCAUUGAAGACAUUACUGCCAACAUGACAGAGACUCCAGAAGGAAAUGAAAUCAGAUCAUGAACUCCCAAUAGGGAAGAAGCCCCAAAACAGACCCCUAAAACUGGAGGUGAGAGGUGUCAAAAGCAAGGUUCCUUCAUCUGUGCAGGCUGUCACAGCCCUGGGUUGGAGUUUGGAUGCAGGGGCCGCUGAGUGACCCUGCCUUCACAGCUGAGGACUAUGGGUCCAAUUUCUCCAAAGAGCCUGCCCUCGGGGCAGCAUCCUUCAGUCAGAUCCAGAUGAGCCCCUGGCCCCCAGGACUACCUGCGUGUCACUUUCCACACCAACCCUGUGUCCUAGAUAGAAAGCAUCCAUUUAUUCCCUUACUUUUCACCAGCCUCAUAGUGUUCACAGUGUCUCCUCUUUUACAAGAAAUAAACUAGUUUUAAAAUGUAAUUGGUUCAGUGUUUUUCCUUCUCUUGAAUGAUCUGGAGGGAACUAACAUAAAAUGAUAGGCUGCAUUUAAGUGGAAACUGAGGGGAAAGUCAGGAAGUUGAGAGGAUCGAGAUACAGGGAAGGCUCUGGGUCAUGCGUCACCAUCAUAGCCCGGACAACCCAGCAGGUUCCAUUACAGAACAGAUCAGGUUAAGGCAGCCACACUGCUUUCUGUGUGGGAAACCUGGAAACUCUUUUUGUGGUGUCCAUCUUGGUAAAGACUGGCAGGAGCCAAACCAGACUGGGACAAAUGCAGAGCUGUAACUCAGACAAAACUUGCAAAAGUAAAUAAGCAUGAACUAGAUAUGAAUCACUAUGGAGGCAAGCCAUGUUGUAGGAUUUUUAUUAUUAUGUUUUCGUAGAAAAGUUACUACUUGCUUUUCCCAAAGCCACUAGGUGGGGCUAAGAAGAGCCUCAAGGUGGGGACCCUCACACUGGUCCAGGGCAGGUGGGUGAGGAGUGGGCACUCCUGGGAGCCGCUCACCAGGAGGAGUUGGAACUGAGCUAGAUGAGGAGAGGCAUCUGUGUGGCACAGGGCAUUGUCAGGAAAAUUGGUUACAUAGGGUAAUCAAAUAAGCAAAUAUAUUCAGGAAAAUAGAACCAGUAUAUCUCUGUCAAAGGAGGGAGUUUUCUAAUAUGUAAAGGGAAGCCACCAGAAUAAACUGUAGUGUUGGAGUAAGGUUGGAGGUAUUAGUGUAAACAUAUUGUUUUUAAUAGAGAUAGAUAUAGAAAACAUACACACACACACACCAUUCCCUAACUCUGCACUGGGAGGGGCCUGGGAGCUGUGGCAUCCCAAUAAAUCUGAACACCUUGUGCCAGAUUUUGGUUUCUAAGUAUCAUUUUCCACUGAAAGGGCCCAGAACUUUUUGGAGAAAUGUCUGAUUCCAGGGCUGGGGCAGGAGAGAUACAAAAGGAACCUGAAACAUCUUAUAAAAGAAAGUAAGAAAUCUCUUUAGAAAAUGCUGAAGGUUUGUCCAAAGGACAAGAAAUUAGAUGAAGAGGCCCCCACUGGUCAUAUUUGGGAUUACUUAAUCAUCAAAAUACAUAUGGCCACCUGUAAUCCCAGCACUUUGGGAGGCCAAGGUGGGUGGAUCACCUGAGGUCAGGAGUUCAAGAGAAGCCUGGCCAAUAUGGCAAAACCCUGUCUCUACCCAAAAUACAAAAAUUAGCCAGCCAUGGUUACAGGUGCCUGUAAUCCCAGCUACUCAUGAGGCUGAGGCAGGAACCAGGGAGGCAGAGGUUGCAGUGAGCAGAAAUUACGCCACUACAUUCCAGCCUGGGCGACAGAGUGAACCUCCAUCUCAAAAAACGAAAACAAAACAAAACAAAUCCAUAUUACUAGCGACAGAUUAUAAUUGUUAUAAGACAAAGUAGGAAACCAUGAACACAUGCUGACAUUUAAAAAUGAAUAAGUCAAAAGUUUGGUGAGCAACAGGGUAUUUAUGUAAUCUCAAAGUACAUCCCCACUGAUUCCAAAGGCAAGAAAGUGACUUUACUGUGGAAAAGGCUGACAGUUGUGUCCCAUUAAUUUGUUCUCUCUUUAAUUUAGUCAUUUUGAGAAUGUUAUAUACAUGGAAUAAUACAGUACAUAAUCUUUUAAAGUUAGGCUUCUUCCACUUGAAAUAAUGUCCCUGAGACCAGUAUAAUAUGCAUCAUGUAUCAGUUGCUUGCUCCUUUUUAUUGCUGAAUAGUAUUCCGUUGUAGGGAUGUACCACUGUUUAUACAUGUACUCGUUUAGAACAUUUGGGCUGUUUGUAUAUUUUGGCUACUAUGAAUAAAGCUGCUAUGAAUACUCAGGUACAAGUUUUAGUUUCUCUGGGAUAAAUGCCCAGGAGUGCAAGUUUUGGGUCAAAUGUAAGUGUAUGUUAAUUGUAUAAGUAAUUGCCAAACUAUUUUCUAGAGUGAUUGUCCCAUUUUACAUUUCCACCAUUAUGUAUGAGAGAUCCAGUUUAUUUACAUUCUCACUAGGUUUUACUAUUAUUAUUUUUUAUUUUAGUCAUUCUAAUAGAUUUGUGAUCAUUAUGGUUUUGUCUUAUUCUAUUUUCUGUUGGUAUAACAGAAUACCAUAGAUGGGGUAAUUUUUAAUGGACAGAAGCUGGGCAUGGUGGCUUAUGGCUGUAAUCCAAGCACUUUGGGAGGUGAAAGUGGGAGAAUUGCUUGAGAUCAGGAGUUCAAGACCAGCCUGGGCUACCUAGUGAGACAUCCACCUCUAAAUUUUUUUUAAAAUUUAAAAUAUACAUAAUAAACAUAAUCUAUUUAGUUCACAAUUCUGGAUGUUGGAAAGUUCAAGAGCACAGUGCCAGCAUCUGAUGAGGGCCUUCUUGCUACAUCAUAACAUGGUGGAAAGUAUCACAUGGCAAGAAAGCAAGAGUGUGCAUGUCAUUCAAGCCUCGUUUCUCAUCUUAUAGAGCCACCAGUCCCAUCAUGGAGGACCUAUCCUGAUGAUUCUAUAGAAUCCUUAUUACUGCCCAAAUGCCCCACAUCCAAUCAAUGUAUUAAACUGGGGAUUAAGUUUCCAACAACACAUGAAAUGUGGAAGACAAAUGCAAACCAUAGUGUG
ensembl:lncRNA